UGUCCUCCAUAGGAGGUCUAUAUUGAGUAGAUUUUUGGUGUUGGAGGUGGAACUGGAGCUUGCUCCAUCUACUCCAUGCAUUGGCCUGGUAUUGCAGUGCUUCCAGGAGCCGGGC
rnacentral:snRNA from 1 species